AUUGAACGCUGGCGGCAUGCUUUACACAUGCAAGUCGAACGGCAGCGCGGGCUUCGGCCUGGCGGCGAGUGGCGAACGGGUGAGUAAUGCAUCGGAACGUGCCCAGUAGUGGGGGAUAGCCCGGCGAAAGCCGGAUUAAUACCGCAUACGACCUGAGGGUGAAAGCGGGGGACCGAAAGGCCUCGCGCUAUUGGAGCGGCCGAUGUCGGUUUAGCUAGUUGGUGGGGUAAAGGCUUACCAAGGCGACGAUCCGUAGCUGGUCUGAGAGGACGACCGGCCACACUGGGACUGAGACACGGCCCAGACUCCUACGGGAGGCAGCAGUGGGGAAUUUUGGACAAUGGGGGCAACCCUGAUCCAGCCAUGCCGCGUGCGGGAAGAAGGCCUUCGGGUUGUAAACCGCUUUUGUUCGGGAAGAAAUCCUCUGGGCUAAUACCCCGGGGGGAUGACGGUACCGGAAGAAUAAGCACCGGCUAACUACGUG
rnacentral:rRNA from 1 species